CAUUUCCUCGCCGUUUUCUCCUCUUCUAUGCGUCAAAACUCAGAAAACCCAUUUCCCCGUACACUGAUCAUGGAGUGGAGCUCCUUGCAUCAACACAAUAGAAAGGAAGUGAAGUGCAGAUCUGAGACACCCAUUGCCUUUUCGGUUUGAAAUGUCGAAAAAUUUCGUCGCAUAUCGGCCGGCUCCGACACAAUAUUCGUCACCGACGGAAAUUUCGAUAAUUUUUCGAAAAUAUCGUCGGUAUUUUUACCGAUUUUUCGGGGAAUUUCCCGAUAUUUCCUAUCAGUCCAGCCGCGCACAGGAUACAAAAUCUGUCCAUUUUUUUAUUUUUUUAUUUAAAAACAUAAGAUGCUAUUUGGUAAUCUGAUCAUGAUGUUUUUAUCGGUAUUUUUAACGAUUUUUCGGGAAAUUUCCCGAUAUUUCCUACCAGUCCAGCCGCGCACAGGACACAAAAUCUGUCCAUUUAAAAAAAAAAAAAAAGCAUAAGAUGCUAUUUGGUAAUUUGAUCAUGAUUUGCAGGAAAGGUUGUGUUUUUCAAUCUGGCUAAAAAAUCGUGGAUUUAGGGUUCGUGAAAUUUUAAUCCAAUGGCACAAAAGCAAAGGAGACCCCCAGAACAGGUCCAGAAAACAAGCAAAAAAAAAAAAAAGCAAUUUUUUUGGUUUUCCUUGGGGUUUUUGCAUGGAUUUUCUCGGAAAUCAAACGAGGAUGAAUUUUCCCGGAAAUCAAAUGGGGGAUAGAUUUUCUUGGGAAUCAAACGGGGGUUGCAAAAAAAAAAUAAUAAU